GAGUUUGAUCGUGGCUCAGGAUGAACGCUAGCGGCAGGCUUAACACAUGCAAGUCGAGGGGUAUAGGUUUUCGGACCUAGAGACCGGCGCACGGGUGCGUAACGCGUAUGUAAUCUACCUUUUACAGAGGGAUAGCCCAGAGAAAUUUGGAUUAAUACCUCAUAGUAUUAUCGGAUGGCAUCAUUUGAUAAUUAAAGUUCCAACGGUAAAGAUGAGCAUGCGUCCCAUUAGCUAGAUGGUAAGGUAACGGCUUACCAUGGCGACGAUGGGUAGGGGUCCUGAGAGGGAGAUCCCCCACACUGGUACUGAGACACGGACCAGACUCCUACGGGAGGCAGCAGUGAGGAAUAUUGGUCAAUGGGUGCAAGCCUGAACCAGCCAUGCCGCGUGCAGGAUGACGGUCCUAUGGAUUGUAAACUGCUUUUGUACGGGAAGAAACACUCCUACGUGUAGGAGCUUGACGGUACCGUAAGAAUAAGGAUCGGCUAACUCCGUGCCAGCAGCCGCAGUAAU
rnacentral:rRNA from 1 species